rnacentral:rRNA from 1 species
CAGUAGCCGCGGUAGUACGUAGGUGACAAGCGUUGUCCGGAAUUAUUGGGCGUAAAGGGCUCGCAGGCGGUUUCUUAAGUCUGAUGUGAAAGCCCCCGGCUCAACCGGGGAGGGUCAUUGGAAACUGGGAAACUUGAGUGCAGAAGAGGAGAGUGGAAUUCCACGUGUAGCGGUGAAAUGCGUAGAGAUGUGGAGGAACACCAGUGGCGAAGGCGACUCUCUGGUCUAUAACUGACGCUGAGGAGCGAAAGCGUGGGGAGCGAACAGGAUUAGAUACCCCAGUAGUCCCUGUCUCUUAUAC